AUUGGACGCUGGCGGCAUGCCUUACACAUGCAAGUCGAACGGCAGCACGGGGGCAACCCUGGUGGCGAGUGGCGAACGGGUGAGUAAUACAUCGGAAUGUACCCAGUAGUGGGGGAUAACUAGUCGAAAGAUUAGCUAAUACCGCAUACGCACUAUGGUGGAAAGCGGGGGAUCGCAAGACCUCGCGCUAUUGGAGCAGCCGAUGUCCGAUUAGGUAGUUGGUGGGGUAAAGGCCUACCAAGCCUGCGAUCGGUAACUGGUCUGAGAGGACGACCAGUCACACUGGGACUGAGACACGGCCCAGACUCCUACGGGAGGCAGCAGUGGGGAAUUUUGGACAAUGGGGGAAACCCUGAUCCAGCAAUGCCGCGUGUGUGACGAAGGCCUUCGGGUUGUAAAGCACUUUUGGCGGGAACGAAACGGCGCUUUCUAAUACAGAGCGCUAAUGACGGUACCCGCAGAAUAAGCACCGGCUAACCUACGUG
rnacentral:rRNA from 1 species